rnacentral:tRNA from 1 species
GCGGGAGUAGUUCAAUGGUAGAGCCCUAGCCUUCCAAGCUAAUGACGCGGGUUCGAUUCCCGUCUCCCGCUCCA